rnacentral:rRNA from 1 species
UACGGGGGGGCAAGCGUUGUUCGGAAUUACUGGGCGUAAAGGGCGCGCAGGCGGCUGCUCAAGUCAGGCGUGAAAGGCCUGGGCUCAACCCGGGAAUUGCGCUUGAGACUGGCUGGCUUGGAGUGCGGGAGAGGAUGGUGGAAUUCCCAGUGUAGAGGUGAAAUUCGUAGAUAUUGGGAAGAACACCGGUGGCGAAGGCGGCCAUCUGGACCGCAACGUGGACGCUGAGGCGGCGGAAAAGCGUGGGGAGCAAACAGGG